UACGUAGGGGGCAAGCGUUGUCCGGAAUUAUUGGGCGUAAAGAGCGUGUAGGCGGUCCGGUAAGUCAGCUGUGAAAGUCAGGGGCUCAACCCUUGAAUGCCGGUUGAUACUGUCGGGCUAGAGUCCGGAAGAGGCGAGUGGAAUUCCCGGUGUAGCGGUGAAAUGCGCAGAUAUCGGGAGGAACACCAAUGGCGAAGGCAGCUCGCUGGGACGGCACUGACGCUGAGACGCGAAAGCGUGGGGAGCAAACAGG
rnacentral:rRNA from 1 species